rnacentral:lncRNA from 1 species
UGCGGUAUACGUAGCAUUGUCAAAUGUUUACACGAGGAAAGGGAUGUCCGGGGAGGUGGAGGGGUUGAGGAAGUUGAUGGGGGGCGAAGAGGGUGGCAAUAACAUCAGGAUAUAGCUUGGCAGCCAUGCCAACUUGAUCCUGAGACUUGCCUAUCUUAUUCAAAAGAGUGAAAGGAGGAAGGUGUUUGGGAUGGUUGGGGUUCCAUCAUUUGUUGAAAAUUGCUUGGUUAUGCUCUCUUAAUCCCUU